CAGUGUCAAGUUGAGAACACUGGGAACAAUAAUUUCCUUCUCGCAAAGAGACGGAGGAACAAUAAAAUACUCCUAAAGCAGAUGAAAUAUAUCUAAUUCUCUGAGCAGGAAAGCUGUAUUCAAAAUAUCUGCAAUGGCAUUAAAACUCAUCAUAGAGAGGCACAGUUUUAGAAAUAAUGUUCAAAAUGAUGGUUUUCUCCAGCAAAAAGAGAAAAAGACAGCUGCAAAGAUUAUGAAGGAGAAAAGAAGACAUGAAAAAUGUAAGAUGUGGAGCAUCACUUCCCAAACUGAUAUUUUUUUCAGUAGUUCCAUCAGCUUGCGUAUUUGUUCCCAAGUAAUGACACUGAUCCAGUAUUGAUCAGGAAGAGGG
ensembl:lncRNA